UUUCUUCUUCUCACGGUCGAACAAUUAACCCUUUCUCUCUUCCUCUUCUCUCAGCUAAACAAUUAACCCUUCUCUCUUCCUCUUCUCACAGCUGAAGGAAUUCCUCUCUUCUUCUUCUCACAGCCGAACAAAUCUAUUCUCCACUCUUCUUCUUCACUCUUUGUACAUUCGCUUCGUCUUCUACAUCCGACCAGCCAGUGGUUCUAUCUUCUUCUUCACAUUUUUCCUCUCACUAUUUUGCCCAAAUCUAUUUACCCAAAAUCGAUAUAUCUCUUAACCUACUUCUCUAGAUCUGAUGAUAUUUUUACCAUCUUCGACACUCACUGAUUUUUCUCCAUCGUUCAACACCAUCUUCUUCACAGUAUUUUGAUCUCAUUGAUUUUCUAAACCACAUUUUCCCCUGUUGUUUGUCGGUCUUCGAUGUCCCCAUGGAUGUGGGUGUUGUUGACAUGCCACAUUUAGAAAUAAACAAAGGUCUUCGAUGCCUUAUCUUCGGUCGGGCGUUCGUUGACUAGGUGGCUGCUUUCCUGCAUAGCUUGUUCUACGAACUUGUCGCUCUCGGAUGUCAUUCAUUGUAUUUUUCUUGUCGUUCGGUUAACCUCUGUGUCCGCGACGACCUUUCAUCCUCUAAUGAGUGACGGAUACUAACUGAGGGUUGUGGUUUCGAGCAAGGUAGGGUCGAGGUAAUAUUUCUUACUUUUAUUCGACUGCCGAUGAUGAGUUAGUUUCCUGAAUAUGCAUAUUGUUUUGAUUGAAAUGAUCAUUCACAUGUUCUCUUUGAUAUUCAUUAUUACUAGUUUUAUUUUGUUCUACCAUUUCUUUUUUUGUUCCAUGUUCAUUCUUGAAGUGGUUACAGUCAUUUCUCUUUGUAGAUGGUCAUUUUUUUUCUUCAUUUGUUUGGCAGUGGCUUAUAUUUUUUGCAUUCACUUACUGUGUGUAGAAAAUGGAAAAGAAGUUAUUCUUAUGUAUACGUUUGUUGCACUGUGUCUCUAGAUUAGUCUCUCUUUUUUUGUUUUCCUUUUGUUGUGCAUUGUAUUUGUAUUUUCGACUUCUUGUUUGCCUCUAGUUUAAUGAAUCUAUUUUCCUCCUUUGGCUGUGUAUUUGUUUACUGUUUUUUCACGUCUGUUGUGUAGAAAAUAAUGAGUAUAAGCAUGGUAUGAAACACAAAAUAGAUAGAUAACUAUGGGUCAAAUAUUUCCCCAUCAUUUACUAAGGAAGGGGAAGGGGAAGAGUUACGAAGAGUAAAAGAUUUGUUAGGAAAAUUACGAAGAAAAGGAGACAUUUGUUCAAUUUUGGACUAAGUAAUUUUUUAUUAGAAAAUUUUCUAACGACAUAAAAAUUAUAUUGUUAAUUGACGACGCAAAAAUUGUGUUAAGAAAAAUUUUGGUUUUUUAUUUUUAAUGAUAGAUUUUACUCCAUCCCACCCCCUUUUCCUUGAUUUUAAGUGUUAUCAAAGCCCAAAUUUCUAGUAAUGUUUGAAUAUAUGGUAGGUUAAAGUUUGACCUUUCAAAGUCAAAAGUCAACAUUUUGACUUUUUAACAUUUUGUUUCCUUUGACUAAUUUAACCUCCUGAGUAUGAAUUCACAUUCAUUUUUCUGAAAUUCAAAUCACAUUUGAGUAUAUAGUAGGUUAAAGUUUGACUUUUUAAAGUUAAAAGUAAACAUUUUGACUUUUUUCAACUUUAACUAUUUUUAUUAUUUAUGAGUGUUCGAAUAUGAAUCUACAUUCAUAAUUUUUAUAUUUAUAUCACAUUUAAACAUAAAGCUCCAUUACUAAUCUAAAACCGACAACAAUAACACAUAUACUUGUUGGUUUCUCUCUCCUCAUCUAAUUCAAACAAUUCGAAUAAUUUCAUCAUACUGUUCUAAGUUUAUUCCAUAUGAGCUAGUAGGGGAACCUAAUGAACCUAUAGAUCAUGGUCUCCAACAAUUUGAGAUUAAUUGGUUAAACCCUUUUUAGACCAAGUUAAUCAACAUUCAAUAACUAAUGGGUCAUUCCACUAAAGUUUUGUAGUUGUACUCCCUUCACUAUAGAUAUAUUUGUGUCCAUCUGAUAUAAAUAUGAUCAAUAAGUUAAUCUUUCAUGGAUUAUUCGUAACCUCGGUUAAAAUAUUGUUUUAUCCCCGAGACUACAUCUCGCUUCUUAAGUCUCAUUGAUCCACUAUUAAAUAAUUGGUUUAAGGUUCAAUCUAUAAACUGAAUCCCUCUUAGGCCGAUGAGAGUGCAGGGCUCGUUGUUCAAGACUUGGAUUUAGUCCUUAAGGAAAUGAACUAUCUAUCAAUCUUAUGCCCCAGCUACCUAUUUGGUCUUACCUUUGAAAUGAGAGGCUUAUUGAGCCAAUGUUGAUGAGCUGCCAUCACCUUUGCAGAUUUAAAGAUAAUUUUGUAUGAAUAGUUUGCUCAAGAUUAAUUAAGAUUAAGUUACCUAGGUCAUCAAUAAUUGAAAUAGUCAGUUUUAAACAAUAAACAAUGUUAUAACGUAAAAAUGACUAUUUAAUAGUUCAGUCUUAUGUAAACUCUUUACAUAGGAUGCCUCCACUUUAAUGUCUCUACAUGAACAAUUCAGGAUUACAUCAUUUAUACUAAUUACAAAUCGGGCUGCAUUCAUAAUGUCAUCAUAAUAAGGUGCCAAACCUUUAUUCACAUACUAUAGAUUGUUUAUAGUAUAUACUCGAACUUGAUCCAUGUUGAUGUCUCUACAUAAAAUUCAAGUUUACUCAAGAUAGCCUUGAGACAUUGGUUUAUUGGAUUCAAAAUUAUAGUAUUAAUUUUACUAACAAAAUAUCAAUAACAACCUUAUUGAAUAAAAUAUGGUUUUAAAUUACAAACUACGAGUUUUAUGACAUAAAUUCCAACAGUCAGAGGAAUGCGUACUUGUCAUAAUGGAUGUGUUUGCAUCAUCUGUAACAAUACAUCUAUCUUUAGUGCAUUGAACAUUUAAGUCUUGAUCAUAUAGUUGGCUAAAGCUGAUUACAUUAGCAUUAUGACCUUCUACUACAUAACAUCCUUAAAAGAAGGCAAACCGAGAAAGUUUAAAGUUUCCUUUCCAACAAUGUUAGCACAAACAUCAUAACCAAAUGUUACUUUACCUAAGCUAACUGAUUUCACAUUAGUGAUAUAUAUUUUCUCACCAAUCAUACGACAGAAGCUACCAUUGUUGAAGUACCAAUCUCCUUUAAUAGAGGACCUAAAAAAGAACAACCUUGCAUUUGCUCUGAACUUCUUCGACUCUCUACAUCUAUUUUACAUAGCUUUGGUGGCUAGGAGAUGUAUAGUUCAUCAUUCUUCCUAAGGACAUAUGAGGAUAACCAUGCAAUUGAUAACAAAAUGGUCUUUUGUGAUUAGGUUUCCCAUAAAAAUUAUAAAUUUACCUCAUUCUAUGAGUGUGGGCAUGAUAUGAUUUUUGCCUUUGAUUAAAAGGUUUAACAAUCCCAUAAGAUUCAGGUUGUUAAGCUCGAGCAAAUUCAUUUUUCUGAUUUCCUUUGACUUGUUGGGAUUUAUUGUUUUGUCUUUUGAGGCAUUACCUUCUUAGAAAAUUCUUUCAAGAGUAUCUAUUCGAGGAUUAAGCAUAGAUUGACUUGCACAUUUCAUCUUUUUUAGCUGUAACAUAGUGUAACUCAUGCUUAAAUAUGAAAAAGUUGACAUCAAUAUAUGAUUAUGUGAUAGUAAGGUCUCUAUCCAUUCUUUCUGAACAUUUAACACUUUCCAGUCUUCUUGCAAUUGAUCAAACAACAUUUUGUAAGAUGGAUAUGAGGAAUCUUUUUUAGAUGAAUUGCUUGCAAAUCCCUAAAAUGCUUCAUAAUCAAGAUUCUCAUAUAACGAAGUGUCAUACGAGAUGUUACUAACAAGAGCUUUAUAACCAUGUAAGUAUCACUACUAUCAUCAAAAUCCAUAUCAGACCAAGUAUGCACAUAACUUUUAUUCUGUCUCAUCAAAAUGUUCAAUACUAAGCCUGAAAAUGUCUGAAACUCUCACAUUCUCUACAUUUAAAGGAUUUUCUUUCUUUGAUAAGCUAGUGGAACCAAAUUUCUCAUUGUCUUUACAACUUUGAACUUUAAGUGGUUGUGCAUAAAUACUUCCAUAGGCUUUGGAUGUUUGGAGCGUGAGUUUUUCAAUCUUCUGUCAAGGCAUUUCAUCAUAUGACGAAAUUGCUAACAUAACAAAGCAGUUGAUUAUGAGCCUCAUCUAAGUUUUUGUGAACAUUCACUCAUAUCAUCAUAGAUAGAUUGAAGGGCAAUUCUCUUAUUCUUUUUAUCCUGCUUUACAUCAAAAGACUAUUCAAAUGUUAGUACAUAGUCAAUUACUUUAUCCACUUUCAUGGAUGUUAUAUUAUAUCUUCCUUAAUCGCUCUAACUUUCAUGUCAAACCAUUUGGGUAAUGAACACAACACUUUUUUUAUAAGCUUUUAUUCUAACAUCUUUUAUAUAAAUGAAAAAGACUUAUUAGCUGAAUCCAGAAAACAAACAUUAAAUUCAACAAUUGUUUCAUCCUCUUGCAUUAUGAGGUUCUCAAACUUUGUGGACAACAACUACAAUCUAGAUUGUUUAACUUUGGUUGUUCCUUCAUGAGCCAUAUAUAAAAUAUCCCAAACAAGUUUUUCUGAGGCACAUGUAUUAAUCAAUUGAUCAACUUCGUUAAAUAUAAUGCUCAAUGUUUUAGAGUUUCUCAGAGAAGUGUUGUCUUCAGCAAUAGUCUACUCUACCUCAAGUUUAGGAGAAACUUUCUCAUCCUCUUAUGACAGUUGGAGGAGUCCAUCAUGUGAUAAUAGAUUUCCAAGAUAUAUUGUUGAGUGACUUCAAAAAGGUUGUCAUAUUAGCCUCCAAUAUGCAUAGUUAGUUCCAUCUAGAACAAGGGCCGGCAUAUAUUAGAACCAUAUUUUUUGAAGCUAUCCAUGAUCGAAGCACUUGAGAUGAAAGUGACCCACUCUGAUACCAAUUGAAAUUUUGUAAAGAGGUUCUUUCACACAGAUAUAGUUGGCACACAACAUGUCCUAACAAGUGCUUGUUUGUUUCUUUUAUGUGAUAUGUGAUAUGAAAAAAUGAUUUGUAGAUGUGUCAUGCAAGGUUAUAAUAAUGCGACUAAGCUGGCAUCUAGGUUAGGGUUAUGCAAUAAAAGGUGCAUGUCUUAUCUAUGUGUUGCUAAAUGCAUAAUGAUUAAUGUUUAACACAAGUUUUCCUUUUCCUCGCCCAAGUGCAAGUGAAAAAAGAGGUUUUUUGGUAAGUCUGGGGUCGAACACAUGAAAUUUCUACCAAAUAAGUUAUGACUUUUACUUCUAAUUCUAGGCGUUAUAAAUUUUAUACAUUAUAAAAGUAAAACUAUACUAAUCUAAUUAUUUACACUUGAGGAUUUUGUAGCAGGGGAAUAGAAUGAAAUACUUAUGGAAUGGAAUACUUAUGGAAUGUGAACUAACUCGCAUCAAGAAAGAUGAAGGAAAGUCUUCGCAUUGUAGGUGAUUUAAGACAUGUCAAUGUUCUUGAUGUGUUAAGAAAGAUGAAGGAAAGUCUUUGCAUUGUAGGCGAUUUAAGACAUGUCAAUGUUCUUGAUGCGAUAUAGAUCAUUUAACCAUCUUAUAUUUAAGGAGAGCAACCUCUCGGCGGCUGAACACAAACUUGUUCUCCUUUCGGGAACCAAAUGGACACAAAUGAUUAGAGGCAAAACUCCAGAACAAAGUUUGUUUUCAAACUCUUUUUUGUGCGCGUUUAGCAAGGUAUUUACUACUUACUCUCUCAAACAGUUGGCGGCGAACGGUAAUCAAGCGAUUGAGUUAAGCUCUAGCUAAACAUGAUGAAUCUUAUACUUAAAGAAUCCUUAUUAAGCAUAUAACAUACACUUAAACUACUUAAAACACUUCAACAAGACGAAGAGUAAAAAAAUGGUAGAGAGAUAGUAGAUAAAACAUGCAUUGUAUUGAUACUGUAGGCUUCUGAGCCAUGAGAAUAAUACAGUCAAACAAUACAUUCUCAAAUACAAAAAUGAAAUUAAAGAAAUGUGUCGAGUUGAAAAAUUCAUUGUUAUGCAUUUCUGGCUCUUUUACAAGUUAUGAGAAUGGUAGGUGAGCUUCUCUCUCUAAGCUCUCACUCAAAAGUUAAUUGGAAAGGAUUUGAAAAAAAAACUACUACUACAGAUAGUGAAGUACUCUAAAACUCAUCAUUUCACCAGCCUCCUUAACGAAUGGCCUCCUCCCUUCUUGUUCAUGGUGGAGCUGGAGUCUUUUAUAGACAUACUUAGGCAAGACAUUAUAUUAGUUAUGAUAUGCUGCACAUUCGUCCUUGCUAUACUGCAUAUCUGUCCUUGCCUAUGAAUGUCAGUGUAGAAAGUAGUUGUUUCUUGUCAUAUGAGUUCCAAUUACCACUCUUGUCUUCUAGCGAAUCAUCUUGAGUGAUGUGUUGCCAUCUCCCCCUACAAUGUGAAUUGUUGGGCUUCUUGUUUAUCCUCGAGUUCUUGCUCAAGAAUCGUCUUGCAAUUCGCUUAUUUUCUUCUUUUCAUCAUCCUACGUGUAAAAACACUUAAAAGCAUAGUUAAUUAGGUGUAAUGACUUAUGUAAGGUACAUUCACUUAACAUUAUAAAUUUGCACUAAAAGCUACCAGUCCUUUAUCUCGCAUUUUGGCUCCAUUGUUUUAUCUAAAAGGCCACAAUAACUUAUAUUUUUAUGAGUUAUCAACAAAGAGAGACAAUAUUAAAAAUAACAAAGAGAAAAACAAUAGUAACGCACAAUAAUUGGUAAUCCAUUUUGGUGGUACAACACCUACAUCUGGGAAACAAUGUGCUCAUGAAAGAUAAUACACUAGUAUAAUAUAGUUAAAAAAUUAUAUCAUUGUACUUAUUUGUUCUCUCAAGAUUAUAGUGACAACCGUAGAGCUAACUCUAUGAACACCUAGACUCUUCCUUUUAGAUUUAAGACUUAUUCUCAUUAGAACUUAGACUCCUCUUAAGCGUGUGAAACCCCAUCUCGGGUGAAGUUAUCUUUCCUCUUCACUUAUGAACUCCCACCAUGUGUGAAACUUAUAGGUUUCACCUAAGUUAAUGAAAACCCUAUUCUCAAUUAGUCGGGUUUAGACUCCUCCUAAAGUAGUGUAGUAUGAUCAAAUUUAAUGUAGUCUUAAAAAACCUCUUACAAGAACAAUAACCACAUAUGCAGACGAAUGAUGCUUCAACUUCUCUCACAAUAACAAUAAAAAAAAAUUCAGAACAUAUGCGACAACCCUAGCAACGAAUGCAUCACGAGCUUAAAUAACAAAAGGGAGCAAGGAAACAAACCACAUAACGAAUUGAAACAGCUCUAGAAAAGGCAAAACCAAAACACAAAAUAAUGUAAAUAAGGAAAGAAAUAUUUUGUAGGAUCUGCAACUUUCAUGAUGAUUGUUAGGACAAGAAUAUUCUGAAACGUAUUCUAGGAUGACCAUACAAAUAGCUCGACAACAUGCUAGAAAACUUCAAAUAUAUUUAGCCAAUUUUAAAGGCAUUAACAAUAACAAAUAAUAAAAUGCAAAUAAAAGGUAAAAAUAAAAAAAAUGAAAAGAAAAUAAAUGAAAAAGAGCAACCACUAUAAUUUCAAAACAACUCUAUUUUCAUCCUAAGUUAAAAAUAAAAAAAUAUUAAUAAAAAAACACAUGUUUGCAAAUUAAUUUGGUAUAUUGGUAUGUGUUAUGGUGACCUUCGUUGAAAUUGAAUUUAUUAGAGAAAUUACAAAAAUAAACAAAUUUUUAGGGGUCAGAGGAUUUUGGGAUUCUUUUUUAAAAAUUUGAGUUUUACCACGAAAUGGAUUGUGAAAGUCCAAAACGCCUUUAAAUACAAUUGCAUACAAUUUUUAGUCACUCUUCAACAAACUCUGUUGUUAUUUUGGAGAGUGUUUAUGUUUUUUUUUCUUUUUUUUUCUUUUUUAUUAUUAUAGAUAAUGCUCUUAAUCUUUAGAGUUUUCUUGGUGAAACUUUCAUGCCUUACAUGUAUAACUCAAAAUCAAUUUUAUAAUUAUUCUAAGUGAUUUGAGGUUGUCUAAUAAAUAUUUAGCAAGUUUUUUGUUUUUUUCAUCUCGUAACUUCCAUACUUCAAAUGUCCAAUCUCAAAUAAAUCAUAUACUUGUUUUAUGUGAUUUAAGAUGUCUAUAUAUGUUUUAGGAAUUUUUUAGCUACUGUUUUUGUAUCUUGCAAACAUUUUACAACUUCCAAACUUUAAAUGUUCAAUCCUAAAUCAAUUAUAUGCUUGUUUUAUGUGAUAUAGGGUGAUUAUACACAUGUUUUAGGGAGUUUUUAGCUACUUUUUGUAUAUUGCAGAGAUCUUUUACUCAUCUAGUAAAUAUCUUGCAAUGUCCAAAUUUGUCAGAUGUGGGUGAGAUUAAAAAAAUAGCUAAAAAACUUCAAUAAACAUGUUGUAAAAUCACUAUAAAUCACCUAAAACAAGUAUACAAUUGAUUUAGGAUUGAACAUUUAAAGUUUGGAAUUUUCGAGAUACUUGCGAGAUGUUUGCAACAUACAAAAUGAGUUGCUAAAAACUCCACAAAACAUGUGCAGAAUCAUCCUAGAUCACAUAAAACAAGUAUGUAAUUUGAACUACCCACAAAUAUCUUGCAAUGUCCUACAAAUAUCUCGCACGCAUCUCGCAAAUAUCUCACAAUAUUCAAAUUUGAAAUUCCUAACUCCAAAGCAACUAUAUACUUGUUUUAGGUGACUUAUGGUGCGCUUUUAUAACAUGAUCAAAGGAGUUUUUCUAGCUAUUUCUUUUAACCACUAGAAGUAACUUCUUUAACUAGUUAGAUUUCUAUUUCAUUAGGAGAACCUAGGUUACUUAGUCUUAAUCCUAAGUGUAUUAUGAAUUCUUGUUCACGAUGAAUUGUCCUUUGAUUUGUACGGGUGAGAGUGGCCAAAUUGUCAAUUCAACAUGCUUAUCAGUUUGGGGACAAGACCGAGCGGGGAGCUGGGAACAUAAUUAUACAAGAUGAAAUUCACUUCUUCCCAACUUUAGGGGAGCAAGAGACUUUGAGGAGCACCUUAACAAAGUAGAAGAGAAUAAAGAAGAAGAGGAAGAACAAAAAGACCAAGAUGACGAACUAAACUUGGAAUCAAGCAAUCCAAAAAUGCUUAGAAAAAAAUGACGAUCUUGACGACGAAGGAAAGAGAAACACGCCUGGAAAUAGGAACCAAACUUUCGGAGGGUCAUAUGGUGGACAGACUAAAUUAAGCACAUAAGAAACAACACCUACCACGCAAGGAUAAGAGGAAGAUGACUAACAAUAUAACGUAAGAAAAGAACCGAAUAUAGUACAACAUGUUUAGAAUACAUCUUAGUAAUUAACAUGUGUACAUAAUUGUAAUAGGACUCGGAGGAUCAGAUGAAAAUGGUAUAGUAGUGUAUGCUUGACAUAUGUUUGUUAUAAUGAAUGACUAUUAAAUUUUAAGAAUUGUGAAUCCCAAUUACAGAGUAUUUAUGGUAUUUGUAACUCUAACUACGUGAAAUAGGUUAAUUAUAUUGUCAUCAAUGAGAUGUAUAUACUUUUGUUAUGAACAAA